GGCGAACGCUGGCGGCUUGCUUAACACAUGCAAGUCGAACGGAAAGGCCCUGCUUUUGUGGGGUGCUCGAGUGUCGAACGGGUGAGUAACACGUGAGUAACCUGCCCUUGACUUUGGGAUAACUUCAGGAAACUGGGGCUAAUACCGGAUAGGAGCUCCUGCUGCAUGGUGGGGGUUGGAAAGUUUCGGCGGUUGGGAAUGGACUCGCGGCUUAUCAGCUUGUUGGUGGGGUAGUGGCUUACCAAGGCUUUUACGGGUAGCCGGCCUGAGAGGUUGACCGGCCAGAGUGGGACUGAGGUACGGCACAGACUCCUACGGGAGAGAGGAGUGGGGAAUAUUGCACAAUGGGCGGAAGCCUGAGGCAGCAACGCCGCGAGCGGGAUGACGGCCUUGGGGUUGUAAACCGCUUUCGCCUGUGACGAGGCGUGAGUGACGGUAAGGGGUAAAGAAGCACCGGCUAACUACGUG
rnacentral:rRNA from 1 species